GGAGUUAGCCGGUGCUUCUUCUGUGAGUGAUGUCCUUCCUGCCGGCUAUUAACCCGCAGGCCUUCUUCCUCACUGAAAGUGCUUUACAACCCGAAGGCCUUCUUCACACACGCGGCAUGGCUGGAUCAGGGUUGUCCCCCAUUGUCCAAUAUUCCCCACUGCUGCCUCCCGUAGGAGUCUGGGCCGUGUCUCAGUCCCAGUGUGGCUGAUCAUCCUCUCAGACCAGCUACGGAUCGUCGCCUUGGUGAGCCGUUACCUCACCAACCAGCUAAUCCGACAUAGGCUCAUCCGAUAGCGCGAGGCCCGAAGGUCCCCCGNUUUCCCCCGUAGGGCGUAUGCGGUAUUAGCCUGGGUUUCCCCAGGGUUAUCCCCCACUACCGGGCAGAUUCCUAUGCAUUACUCACCCGUCCGCCGCUCGCCACCAGGGAGCAAGCUCCCCGUGCUGCCGCUCGACUUGCAUGUGUUAGGCCUGCCGCCAGCGUUCAAUCUGAGCCAGGAUCAAACUCUGA
rnacentral:rRNA from 1 species